rnacentral:rRNA from 1 species
CUGCGGAGAUCAUUACUGAGAGAGGGACCUCGUGUCCCCCGGGGGGUUUCGGCCCUCCACCUCUUCAACCCGUGCUUAUAGACCUCUGUUGCUUUGGCGAGCGCCGGGGCGCCUCCCGCCUCGGCCCCGACCCCAAGGCCGGUGCGUUCUCGCCAGAGCCCCCUAAGCAUUCUGUUUAUUCAGUGACGUCCGAGUAUGACCAAAAUAUAAAUCAAAACUUUCAACAACGGAUCUCUUGGUUCUGGCAUCGAUGAAGAACGCAGCGAAAUGCGAUAAGUAAUGUGAAUUGCAGAAUUCAGUGAAUCAUCGAAUCUUUGAACGCACAUUGCGCCCCUUGGUAUUCCGAGGGGCAUGCCUGUUCGAGCGUCAUUGCAACCCUCAAGCUUUGCUUGGUAUUGAGCUUUUCGCCGGAGACGGCGUGCUCGAAAAUUAGUGGCGGUCCAGGGAGACUUCAAGCGCAGUAAAAGUUCCGUUUUCGAGGUUCUCGCCUACGACCGGCCGUAAAACCCCCAAAUUUUUCAAUGAUUGACCUCGGAUCAGGUAGGGAU